GAUAAGGUGUCUGAAUUACUAGGUCGUGAAUUGUAAAUUCAUGUAUGGCGUUAAAUUGCCCCUUAUUA
rnacentral:tRNA from 1 species